rnacentral:rRNA from 1 species
UACGUAGGGUGCGAGCGUUGUCCGGAAUUACUGGGCGUAAAGAGCUCGUAGGUGGUUUGUCGCGUUGUUCGUGAAAACUCACAACUCAAUUGUGGGCGUGCGGGCGAUACGGGCAGACUGGAGUACUGCAGGGGAGACUGGAAUUCCUGGUGUAGCGGUGGAAUGCGCAGAGUAUCAGGAGGAACACCGGUGGCGAAGGCGGCAUCCUGGACCGACAUGACGCUGAGGAGCGAAAGCUAGGGGAGCAAACGGG